rnacentral:tRNA from 2 species
GGAGAGAUGGCAGAGAGGUCGAAUGCACAUGAUUCGAAAUCAUGCGUACCUUCACCGGUACCUAGGGUUCAAAUCCCUAUCUCUCCGCCA